ACUGCUCAGUAACACGUAUACAAGGAAUUGGCGGGGGAGCACAUACGGCUCAGUAACACGUAUAGGAAUUGGCGGGGGAGCACAUACGGCUCAGUAACACGUGGAUAACCUACCCAAUAGUUUGGGAUAACCCCGGGAAACUGGGGAUAAUACCGGAUAGAUCAUCUUUGCUGGAAGGCUUGGUGGUUGAAACUCUUCGGGGGCUGUUGGAUGGGUCUGCGGCUGAUUAGGUUGUUGCCGGUGUAAUGUACCGUCAAGCCUGUAAUCAGUACGGGUUGUGGAAGCAAGAGCCCGGAGAUGGAUUCUGAGACACGAAUCCAGGCCCUACGGGGCGCAGCAGGCGCGAAAACUCUACAAUGCAGGCAACUGCGGUAGGGGAACAUCGAGUGAUCCUCAUAUUGGGGGUCUGUCCACCCGCCUAAAAAGCGGGUGUUAGCAAGGGCCGGGCAAGACCGGUGCCAGCCGCCGCGGUAAUACCGGCGGCUCGAGUGGUGGCCGAUAUUAUUGAGUCUAAAGGGUCCGUAGCCGGCUUUGCAAGUCUCUCGGGAAAUCCAGCGGCUUAACCGUUGGUCGUCCGGGGGGUACUACAUUGCUUGGGACUGGGAGAGGCGAGAGGUACUCAGGGGGUAGGAGUGAAAUCCUGUAAUCCUCUGGGGACCACCGGUGGCGAAGGCGUCUCGCCAGAACAGGUCCGACGGUGAGGGACGAAAGCUAGGGGCACGAACCGGAUUAGAUACCCGGGUAGUCCUAGCCGUAAACGAUGCUCGCUAGGUGUCACAACAGUCGUGAACUGUUGUGGUGCCGUAGGGAAGCCGUGAAGCGAGCCACUUGGGAAGUACGACCGCAAGGUUGAAACUUAAAGGAAUUGGCGGGGGAGCAC
rnacentral:rRNA from 1 species